rnacentral:lncRNA from 7 species
CUCGGAUUAUGGUGACGGACGCGCGGUUCAUGGCGCAAGGCGGAGAAACGUGCCCCCGCGGGAUCUCUUGUCGCCGACGAGCAAUCCAGAGGGCCAACACCACCGCCUGCGCCCGAUGAGGUCCCCAGCAACCCCAAGCGCGCCCCGGCGAAGGCCUCGGAUCCAAAAUCGUGUGCCUGACUCUGGUGGUCCGGGAUUCCCCCAACGGCGGAGGUUAUCCUCCCCGGAUGUGGCGAUAGCGCCAAGCGCGUUCCUCGGUUUUGGUGAUGUAGGGACUUUUGGCUCGGA